UACGAAGGGGGCUAGCGUUGCUCGGAAUCACUGGGCGUAAAGGGUGCGUAGGCGGAUAGUUAAGUCAGGGGUGAAAUCCCAGAGCUCAACUCUGGAACUGCCUUUGAUACUGGGUAUCUUGAGUAUGGAAGAGGUAAGUGGAAUUGCGAGUGUAGAGGUGAAAUUCGUAGAUAUUCGCAGGAACACCAGUGGCGAAGGCGGCUUGCCAGAACGCGCUCGACGGGUGAGGGGAUGGAAAGCUGGGG
rnacentral:rRNA from 1 species